rnacentral:rRNA from 1 species
AGCAGCCGCGGUAAUUCCAGCUCCAAUAGCGUAUAUUAAAGUUGUUGCAGUUAAAAAGCUCGUAGUUGAAUUUCGGGAUCUAUCCGUCGGUCGGGCCUCACGGUCCGCACUGGUGUGAUGGAUUCCUACCUUCUGAACAUCCGGUAUGCCAUUAAUUUGAUGUGCCGGGGAAGCAGAACCAUUACCUUGAAAAAAUUAGAGUGCUCAAAGCAGGCUUGUGCCUGAAUACAUUAGCAUGGAAUAAUAAAAUAGGACGGCAUGGUUCUAUUUUGUUGGUUUCUAGGAUCACCGUAAUGAUUAAUAGGGAUAGUUGGGGGCAUUAGUAUUCAAUUGUCAGAGGUGAAAUUCUUGGAUUUAUUGAAGACUAACUUCUGCGAAAGCAUUUGCCAAGGAUGUUUUCAUUAAUCAAGAACGAAAGUUAGGGGAUCGAAGACGAUCAGAUACCGUCGUAGUCUUAACCAUAAACUAUGCCGACUAGGGAUCGGACGAUGUAAUUUAUAAUGACUCGUUCGGCG